rnacentral:lncRNA from 1 species
AUCAACUUCAAUGUUCUAUGAUGAGGAAAUUUUUUAACCCAAUUCAGUUUGAUAGUUUUUCCUUUCUAAUUUGGCAAUAAUCAUGAAAACCCAUUUGAAUUUUGAUGCUUUUGUUUUGUGGGUUUAAUUUGAUGUUGGCAUAAUGAUUGAAUUUUAAGACGCUAAACCACCCAAUUGAGUUAAAUCAUUAUAUAGUUGAACUCUGUAUACAAGUGCGAAACGUCUAUUGAUAAAGGAUUUGGGUAUUUCACUGUCUAGGAUUGACACGAGUUUUGCAGGACUAAGUACCUCCGUCAUAUUGGUAUGACCCCUUUUUAAUUAUUGCGAGAAAUUGUUGUCAUAUACAAGUAUACUUGAAAAGGUAGAUUUAAUUUAUUUUCACUGUGAAUUAGAUGGAGUUUUAGACUUGGUUGGUUUUAGAAUUAUCUUGACUGCGCUUUUCUUUCUAUUUGUUAGGAGUUAGGUUUGGCAGAAGAGAAUACAGAAUAGAAUGGAAAGAAAGGCGGUAAAGUGCAAGAAGGUUAGGCAGAAGAGAAUACAGAAAAGAACGGUAUUAAUCCCUUCUCGAUUACUCAAAUCACUUUUUCUGUACAAGUUAGAUCAUGGAUAGCUACAAUGUGUGUCUUUUAAAGAUACUAGUGAGACGCACGUGCAAGACACGUGACACAACAUAAUUGACAAUGUAAUAGCUACUGCAGUUCAAAUGUGUCAAAUAUUGAUUUAUACAAUGCUCAAUAUUUGUCUGCAGUAAAGGAUAACAAAUUUUACCCCAACUGCAUAGUAGGGUUCAUUGACAUACCAGUCAACCAAUCCCUAUCCCAACUCUGAAAUUUCCUAGUUGAUUAAGAAAAUGAAUAUUAUUUCAAUUUGGAUUAUGACCAUCUUUUAGCAAAAAGCUCUAUCAGAAGCACAAUUACAUUAUCUCCUUGAUAGCAUUUUUAUGAAAGUUCCAGAAUUUUAGUCUUUGAGCAAUUUGGUUGAGGAGAGGCAGUGUGGACAGCAUUUCAAAACCCUAGACAGACGGUGGAAACUACCAAGCUGGAGUACGAUAGGGAUAGAGGGAAUUUCCGAUGGGUUCCUCGAACAAUGUGAUAUCUUACACCGAGUCAAUUGGUAUUUUUGCGUAUCCUCCUAUU